GAUUAUGGCUCAGGAUGAACGCUAGCUACAGGCUUAACACAUGCAAGUCGAGGGGUAGCAGGGUAGCAAUACCGCUGACGACCGGCGCACGGGUGAGUAACACGUAUCCAACCUUCCCAUAACUCAGGGAUAGCCUUUCGAAAGAAAGAUUAAUACCUGAUGGUACUUAUAUAAGGCAUCUUUUAUAAGUUAAAGAUUUAUUGGUUAUGGAUGGGGAUGCGUUCCAUUAGAUAGUUGGUGAGGUAACGGCUCACCAAGUCUUCGAUGGAUAGGGGUUCUGAGAGGAAGGUCCCCCACAUUGGUACUGAGACACGGACCAAACUCCUACGGGAGGCAGCAGUGAGGAAUAUUGGUCAAUGGGCGCGAGCCUGAACCAGCCAAGUAGCGUGAAGGAAUGAAGGUCCUAUGGAUUGUAAACUUCUUUUAUAGUAGAAUAAAGUGAGCCACGUGUGGUUUUUUGUAUGUAUACUAUGAAUAAGGAUCGGCUAACUCCGUGCCAGCCGCAGC
rnacentral:rRNA from 1 species